UAAUAGAAAGAGGGAAAAUUAGGGUUAUGUUGUGUGCUGAUUCAUCUUCACUCUCGUGACUCCCUCACUCCCACUCUAAACGAACGAAACGGCGGUGGCGGAGACUCCAUCUUCUCCGACCAAAUCGAACCUUCCGGCCACCGCAAGCAAUACGCUCUUGUUUCCUCUUCCACAUAUUUCUGAUUCGUUCUCAUCCCGCGUCUCUCUUCCAUCCCAAUUGAAAUCCCUGACUUCUAAAAGUAGAAUUGAAUGGUGCAUACACUAAAUCGGGGCGUGAGACCUUAGGGGAAAUGCUCACGGAGUCUUGCACUACAUAAUAACAACAAGAACAAGCGAAAAAAUGAAGAACGCAAACUCAUAGAGCUUACCUGAGGUGUGAGUUGAAGAUGACUAUUGAAGAAAACUAGAGGGGAGAUAAUAAGAGCUCCGAAUGCGCAACAGAUGAAGAAGUCAAUGAUUCAGACUAGUGAUGGUAAUGAUGAAGUUGUUGAGGUCACGAUGAGGACGAAAAUUGAAGGAUAGUGACGACUCCGUGAAGAUUACAAAUGAUGAUCGUGAAUCAUGGCUUGAAGCUUCAAUGUGGAGAAUAUUAUUAUUGGAGUUGAUGGUUGAUUGGAGAGGAGUUGCUAAGAGUGAUGCAGAGAUGGUGAAAUGGAGAAAGUCGGGUUCAUAUGGUGAUGAAGAUGAGAGAGUGUGGAAUCGAUGAUGAUGAUUCAAUGGAGCUUCUCUCUGAUAAUGAGAGAGAGCUCUAAAAUUUUAGGUGAUUAUGGUGAAGUCUAAAUCUGGAAAAUGGUGGAGAGUGGAAGCCCCUGAAUUAUGGAGGGAGCGGAGGUUAUAUAGAUGAUGAAGGAGAGGAAGCAGUUAGAAGGGGAUGGAGUCAGGGCUAUUGGAUCAUAUUGUUGGUUACAAGAUGAAAGGUGAAGAUUAAUCGGUUAAAAGGUCAGCAACAUGGUAACGAAGUCACGGUUUUAGAGUUUGCUUAAUCAUGAAGAGAGAUGAUGUCUUGAAGCCUUUGAUUAUGCGGGUUAAUAGUUUGGCAUGAAUGCUACAGGUUGGUGGCAAGUAAUUUGGACUGUCUUUUGAACACCGCAUGAGCGUUUUUGCUUCGAAGUUGCAGGUUGAAUUUAUGUUGGAUUUUCUAUUUUGAUGCAAGUCUGAUCUGAACUGGUGUAAGUGAAGUUUUGAAGACAACAUGGUGCAUUUGAAGAUGACUCGAAACAUUUUUUUGUAUAGUUCUUUUCGUAAUAGCCUGAUGUAUUUGCAUCUUGUUGUAAUAAACAAUAUAGGAUCUUGUAACCUUGUAGCAUUUUGAUGCAUUUUAUAAUUUGGAAAUUUGUAACAAUUUUGUACUGUGCCAAUUCAAAUUCAAACCCAACCGUACAAGAUUUAUAUUCUAUAAGGAAAUGAUGGCUUGUACUA